GGACUUCCUAAUACCACAAGGGAAUCUGCCACCUCAAUCCUAAAUUUGAGUUGGCAGCAUAUGGAGGAAUAUUUCUGUGGAGCUGAGGGCUGAUGGGUUCUGACGGAUAAUUUCCAAGCCAGUCAGAUUCUGAGGAAGAUGAACCCACAAAGAAGAAAACUAUCCUUCAGGGAUCCAGUGAGGGGACUGGUUUGUCUGCCUUGCUUCCCCAACCUAAAAACCUGACUGUGAAAGAGACUAACAGGUUGCUCCUGCCCCAUGCCUUCUCCCGCAAACCCUCGGAUGGCUCCCCUGAUACUAAGCCCUCCAGACUGGCUUCUAAGACCAAGACUUCCUCUCUUGCCCCUGUUGUGGGCACCACAACCACCACUCCGUCGCCCUCUGCUAUCAAGGCUGCUGCCAAGAGUGCUGCCCUGCAGGUGACAAAGCAGAUCACGCAGGAGGAAGACGACAGUGAUGAGGAAGUAGCCCCCGAAAACUUUUUCUCCCUCCCUGAAAAGGCUGAGCCACCUGGAGUUGAGCCAUACCCUUAUCCCAUCCCCACUGUCCCUGAAGAGCUGCCUCCAGGCACGGAACCAGAGCCGGCUUUCCAGGACGAUGCAGCCAAUGCCCCCCUUGAAUUCAAGAUGGCAGCAGGCUCAAGUGGGGCCCCUUGGAUGCCUAAGCCUGGGGACGACUACAGCUACAAUCAGUUUUCCACAUAUGGCGAUGCCAAUGCCGCUGGUGCUUAUUAUCAGGAUUAUUACAGUGGUGGCUACUAUCCUGCACAGGACCCGGCCCUGGUCCCCCCCCAGGAAAUUGCCCCAGAUGCCUCCUUCAUCGAUGACGAAGCA
rnacentral:sRNA from 1 species